CGCACAUUGCGCCCGGCAGCAUUCUGCCGGGCAUGCCUGUUCGAGCGUCAUUUCAACCCUCGCGCCCCCUUCGGGGGGCACGGCGUUGGGGUACGGCAGCACACUGAGCCGGCCCCGAAAUGGAGUGGCGGCCCGUCCGCGGCGACCUCUGCGUAGUACUUACACCUCGCACCGGGACCCCGACGUGGCCACGCCUCAAAACACCCCAAUUUCUGAACGUUGACCUCGGAUCAGGUAGGAAUACCCGCUGAACUUAA
rnacentral:misc_RNA from 1 species